rnacentral:rRNA from 1 species
CACGUAGGGCGCAAGCGUUGUCCGGAAUUAUUGGGCGUAAAGAGCUCGUAGGCGGUCUGUUGCGUCUGCUGUGAAAACUCGAGGCUUAACCUCGAGAUGUCGGCGGAAACCAUCUGGCUAGAGUCCGGAAGAGGAGAGUGGAAUUCCUGGUGUAGCGGUGAAAUGCGCAGAUAUCAGGAAGAACACCAGUGGCGAAGGCGGCUCACUGGCCCGAUACUGACGCUGAGGCACGAAAGCGUGGGGAGCGAACAGG